rnacentral:rRNA from 1 species
GUUUAAGCAUAUCACUAAGCGGAGGAAAAGAAACUAACGAGGAUUUCCUUAGUAACGGCGAGCGAACCGGAAGUAGCCCAGCUUGAAAAUCGCGAGGUCUCACCGUGCGAAUU